rnacentral:rRNA from 1 species
GCGGAGGAAAAGAAAAUAACAAUGAUUUCCCUAGUAACGGCGAGUGAAGAGGAAAGAGCUCAAAGUUGGAACCUGUUUGGCUUAGCUAAACCGGAUUGUAAACUGUAGAAGUGUUUUCCAGACACGCCUGGUAAAAAAGUCCUUUGGAACAGGGCAUCAUAGAGGGUGAGAAUCCCGUCUUUGGCCAGAGCUGUUGUCUUUUGUGAUACAUUUUCAAAGAGUCAGGUUGUUUGGGAAUGCAGCCUAAAUUGGGUGGUAAAUCUCACCUAAAGCUAAAUAUUUGCGAGAGACCGAUAGCGAACAAGUACCGUGAGGGAAAGAUGAAAAGAACUUUGAAAAGAGAGUUAAACAGUAUGUGAAAUUGUUAAAAGGGAACCGUUUGGAGCCAGACUGGCUUGAUCGUAAUCAAUCUAGGCUUCGGCCUGGAUGCACUUGCGGUCUAUGCCUGCCAACGACAGUUUUAUUUGGGGGAAAAAAUUAUUAGGAAUGUGGCCCUUCGGGGUGUUAUAGCCUUUUAAAAAAUACCCUGGAUUGGACUGAGGAACGCAGUGAAUGCCUUUAGGCAAGAUUGCUGGGCGCUUUCGUUAAUACAUGCUAGAAUUUCUGCUUUGGGUGGUGCUAGUGUGUAGCGAUGGAACUCGCUUGGUAUAUUUUUUAUUCGCUUAGGUUGUUGGCUUAAUGACUCUAAAUGAC